UACGUAGGGGGCGAGCGUUGUCCGGAAUUACUGGCGUAAAGCGUGCGCAGGCGGUUAUGCCAGACAGAGGUGAAAUCCCCGGGCUCAACCUGGGAACUGCCUUUGUGACUGCAUAGCUAGAGUACGGUAGAGGGGGAUGGAAUUCCGCGUGUAGCAGUGAAAUGCGUAGAUAUGCGGAGGAACACCGAUGGCGAAGGCAGUCCCCUGGGCCUGUACUGACGCUCAUGCACGAAAGCGUGGGGAGCAAACAGG
rnacentral:rRNA from 1 species